rnacentral:rRNA from 1 species
UACAGAGGGUGCGAGCGUUAAUCGGAAUUACUGGGCGUAAAGCGUGCGUAGACGGUUAUUUAAGUCGGAUGUGAAAGCCCUGGGCUCAACCUGGGAAUUGCAUUCGAGACUGAAUAGCUAGGGUACGGUAGAGGGAAGUGGAAUUUCCGGUGUAGCGGUGAAAUGCGUAGAUAUCGGAAGGAACAGCAGUGGCGAAAGCGACUUCCUGGACCAGUACCGACGUUCAGGCACGAAAGCGUGGGGAGCAAACGGG